rnacentral:rRNA from 1 species
AAGUCGAACGCAGUAGCAAUACUGAGUGGCAAACGGGUGAGUAUAAUGUGGGAAUCUGCCUUUUGGUUUGGAAUAACACGGGGAAACUUGUGCUAAUGCCGAAUAAGCCCUUACGGGGAAAGUUUUAAUGCCGAAAGAUGAGCCCGCACUUGAUUAGCUAGUUGGUAAGGUAAAAGCUUACCAAGGCAACGAUCAAAAGCUGUUCUUAGAGGAAGACCAGCCACAUUGGGACUGAGACACGGCCCAGACUCCUACGGGAGGCAGCAGUGGGGAAUCUUGCACAAUGGGGGAAACCCUGAUGCAGCGAUGCCGCGUGAGUGAAGAAGGCCUUUGGGUUGUAAAACUCUUUCGUCGGGGAAGAAAAUGACUGUACCCGAAUAAGAAGGUCCGGCUAACUUCGUGCCAGCAGCCGCGGUAAUACGAAGGGACCUAGCGUAGUUCGGAAUUACUGGGCUUAAAGAGCUCGUAGGUGGUUAAAAAAGCUGAUGGUGAAAUCCCAAGGCUCAACCUUGGAACUGCCAUCAAAACUUUUUAGCUAGAGUGUGAUAGAGGUAAGUGGAAUUUCUAGUGUAGAGGUGAAAUUCGUAGAUAUUAGAAAGAACACCAAAUGCGAAGGCAACUUACUGGGUCACUACUGACACUGAGGAGCGAAAGCAUGGGUAGCGAAGAGGAUUAGAUACCCCCGUAGUCCAUGCCGUAAACGAUGUGUGCUAGACGUUGGAAAUAUAUUUUUCAGUGUCGCAGCGAAAGCAUUAAGCACACCGCCUGGGGAGUACGACCGCAAGGUUAAAACUCAAAUGAAUUGACGGGGACCCGCACAAGCAGUGGAGCAUGUGGUUUAAUUCGAAGAUACGCGCAGAACCUUACCAACGCUUGACAUGUUCGUCGCGAAACUAAGAGAUUAGUUUCUUCAGUUCGGCUGGACGAAACAC